rfam:Acetothermia bacterium 64_32 S_OP1_64_33_18, whole genome shotgun sequence.
GGAGGGGGACAGGGAGCCGCGGGGGUUUUUACCCCUGAGGAAGGUCCGGACUCCGCAGGGCAGGCCGCUCGGGGAAACCCGAGAGGGGGCGACCCCUGGAAAGUGCCACAGAGAACAGACCGCCAGCGGCCCGGGAUUCCGGGUGCGGGCAAGGGUGAAACGGUGGGGUAAGGGCCCACCGCCGGGGCCGCGAGGCUCCCGGGCACGGCAAACCCCGGCCGGAGCAAGGCCAAAUAGGGGGGCGAUUGAGGGUGGCCCGCCCGAUGCCCCCGGGUAGGCCGCGUAGACGAAUGGCUCCCGAAAACAGAAUCCGGCCUAUGGCCCCCUCCCCCG